rnacentral:rRNA from 1 species
GAUGAACGCUGGCGGCGUGCCUAACACAUGCAAGUCGAGCGAUUUACUUCGGUAAAGAGCGGCGGACGGGUGAGUAACGCGUGGGUAACCUGCCCUAUACACACGGAUAACGUACCGAAAGGUAUGCUAAUACGAGAUAACAUAAGAGAUUCGCAUGGAUUUCUUAUCAAAGCUUUUGCGGUAUAGGAUGGACCCGCGUCUGAUUAGCUAGUUGGUAAGGUAACGGCUUACCAAGGCGACGAUCAGUAGCCGACCUGAGAGGGUGAUCGGCCACAUUGGAACUGAGACACGGUCCAAACUCCUACGGGAGGCAGCAGUGGGGAAUAUUGCACAAUGGGCGAAAGCCUGAUGCAGCAACGCCGCGUGAGCGAUGAAGGCCUUCGGGUCGUAAAGCUCUGUCCUCAAGGAAGAUAAUGACGGUACUUGAGGAGGAAGCCCCGGCUAACUACGUGCCAGCAGCCGCGGUAAUACGUAGGGGGCUAGCGUUAUCCGGAAUUACUGGGCGUAAAGGGUGCGUAGGUGGUUUCUUAAGUCAGGGGUGAAAGGCUACGGCUCAACCGUAGUAAGCCUUUGAAACUGAGAAACUUGAGUGCAGGAGAGGAGAGUAGAAUUCCUAGUGUAGCGGUGAAAUGCGUAGAUAUUAGGAGGAAUACCAGUUGCGAAGGCGGCUCUCUGGACUGUAACUGACACUGAGGCACGAAAGCGUGGGGAGCAAACAGGAUUAGAUACCCUGGUAGUCCACGCCGUAAACGAUGAGUACUAGCUGUCGGAGGUUACCCCCUUCGGUGGCGCAGCUAACGCAUUAAGUACUCCGCCUGGGAAGUACGCUCGCAAGAGUGAAACUCAAAGGAAUUGACGGGGACCCGCACAAGUAGCGGAGCAUGUGGUUUAAUUCGAAGCAACGCGAAGAACCUUACCUAAGCUUGACAUCCUUUUGACCUCUCCCUAAUCGGAGAUUUCCCUUCGGGGACAGAAGUGACAGGUGGUGCAUGGUUGUCGUCAGCUCGUGUCGUGAGAUGUUGGGUUAAGUCCCGCAACGAGCGCAACCCUUGCCUUUAGUUGCCAGUAUUAAGUUGGGCACUCUAGAGGGACUGCCAGGGAUAACCUGGAGGAAGGUGGGGAUGACGUCAAAUCAUCAUGCCCCUUAUGCUUAGGGCUACACACGUGCUACAAUGGGUGGUACAGAGGGCAGCCAAGUCGUGAGGCGGAGCUAAUCCCUUAAAGCCAUUCUCAGUUCGGAUUGUAGGCUGAAACUCGCCUACAUGAAGCUGGAGUUACUAGUAAUCGCAGAUCAGAAUGCUGCGGUGAAUGCGUUCCCGGGUCUUGUACACACCGCCCGUCACACCAUGGGAGUUGGGGGCGCCCGAAGCCGGUUAGCUAACCUUUUAGGAAGCGGCCGUCGAAGGUGAAACCAAUAACUGGGGUGAAGUCGUAACAAGGUAGCCGUAUCGGAAGGUGCGGCUGGAUCACCUCCUUUCUAAGGAGAAUUGCCUACUGUUUAAUUUUGAGGGUUCUUAAAAUCCUUAAAAAACAUAUUGACAAAAAUCGACAAUGUUAUUAUAAUAUAACAUGUUGAAAAAAUAAUAUGGGGGUGUAGCUCAGCUGGGAGAGCACUUGCCUUGCACGCAAGGGGUCAGGAGUUCGAUCCUCCUCAUCUCCACCAUUAGUACUUAAAUGUACUGUUAGUACUUUGAAAACUGCAUAACAUUUAGUGAUAUGACAUCAUUUAAUUAUAUAUGGACAAGAAAAGUCAUUAAAAUUACAACUUUAAGCAAAGGGAUUUAUGUGAAUGAAUAUGAACAUAAAGACUUUCGCGAUAACUUUUAAUAACUGGUCAAGUUAUUAAGGGUGCAGGGCGGAUGCCUUGGCACUAGGAGCCGAUGAAGGACGUGAUAAGCUGCGAUAAGCUUCGGGGAGUUGCACGUAAACUUUGAUCCGAAGAUUUCCGAAUGAGGAAACUCACUUAGAGUAAUGUCUAAGUAUCGUUAAGUGAAUACAUAGCUUAGCGAGGGGAACCCGGGGAACUGAAACAUCUAAGUACCUGGAGGAAGAGAAAGAAAAAUCGAUUCCGUAAGUAGCGGCGAGCGAACGCGGAACAGGCCAAACCAAUGAAGUUUACUUCGUUGGGGUUGCGGACAUAUUAUAAAGGUCGAGGUCAUCGUAAAUGAAGAGAGUUGGAAAGCUCCGCUAUAAAGGGUAAUAGCCCCGUAGUUGAAACGAUAAUUCGAUAGAUAUGAUCCAGAGUACCACGGGACACGUGAAACCCUGUGGGAAGCAGGAGGGACCAUCCUCCAAGCCUAAAUACUACCUAGUGACCGAUAGCGCAU